GUGCCAGCAGCCGCGGUAAUUCCAGCUCCAAUAGCGUAUAUUAAAGUUGUUGUGGUUAAAAAGCUCGUAGUUGAACCCUGGGCCUGGCUGGCCGGUCCGCCUCACCGCGUGCACUGGUCCGGCCGGGCCUUCCCUCUGUGGAACCCCAUACCCUUCACUGGGCGUGGCGGGGAAACAGGACAUUUACUUUGAAAAAAUUAGAGUGCUCCAGGCAGGCCUAUGCUCGAAUACAUUAGCAUGGAAUAAUAAAAUAGGACGCGCGGUUCUAUUUUGUUGGUUUAUAGGACCGCCGUAAUGAUUAAUAGGGACAGUCGGGGGCAUCAGUAUUCAACUGUCAGAGGUGAAAUUCUUGGAUCAGUUGAAGACUAACUACUGCGAAAGCAUUUGCCAAGGAUGUUUUCAUUAAUCAGGAACGAAAGUUAGGGGAUCGAAGACGAUCAGAUACCGUCGUAGUCUUAACCAUAAACUAUGCCGACUAGGGAUCGGACGGUGUUAUUCAUGACCCGUUCGGCACCUCACGAGAAAUCAAAGUGCUUGGGCUCCAGGGGGAGUAUGGUCGCAAGGCUGAAACUUAAAGAAAUUGACGGAAGGGCACCACCAGGGGUGGAGCCUGCGGCUUUAUUUGACUCAACACGGGAAACUCACCAGGUCCAGACACAAUAAGGAUUGACAGAUUGAGAGCUCUUUUCUUGAUUUUUGUGGGUGGUGGUGCAUGGCCGUUCUUAGUUGGUGGGGUGACUUGGUCUGCUUUAAUUG
rnacentral:rRNA from 1 species